CAUGUAGAGUGAUAGUAUAAUGACUCCGAGCCGUUUAAAAGGUUUCAAAAUGGAAAUAAACCAACAAAUGAAUAAAAAGUUUUAAUGUUGUUUUUUUCAGAAGUACAACCACUUGUGUGGAAAUCCUUUCAUAUAAGGAAAAGUCAUCCUUCACUGGCAGAUAAUAAAAAAGCCGACACCGACACACAGAAAGUUGGAAUGUCGAUAUUCAAGUACGAAUCAUGCAGCAUCACUUAUUGUGGUCCGAACUAUUGUUGUUGCAAGUUAACUACAUAGACAGAUAGAUGGUGUUUUUUCAUAUAAACAUUGCAGCCAAUAGGCUGAAUUACGCUUAUAUUUACAAGUUAAGAAAAUAUUAAAAUACUAUACAACUAAAUGUCUCUGAAAGGAUCUAAGAAUGUUCUAAUAAUUUCAUGAUGAAUAAUUUAAUGCAUUAUGUAUAAUAGAACUAUUUUUAAAACGGUUAGUUUGAAAUGCAACGUUAAAUCUAUGACUGGAUCUAAGAGUCAUAUUAACAGUUUCUUUACGUGGUGGAAGAAGAUUAUAAAACUUAUGGCUAUCAUCAGUCACUAUUUCUUCAAAUAAUUUGUCUGAAAGACCGUCUCUUCGAUGGCUGAGCCGUUGGAGGCCAGUUGAUUGUAAAGCGUUUUCAUAUGAGACGCAAGGUAAGAUAAUUCGCAAUGCUCUCUUUUGGAUCUGCUCCAAAUCCUGGAGGUAAUUUGUCAAACCAUUAAGGAAUACAGGACUUGCGUAUUCUAGGAUUGGUCUUAUGCACGUUGUAAAGAAUAGGACAAGUUCUUUCUUGCCAACUCUCGCUCUCUUAAGUUGGGAGAGAAAAUAGAGACGCUUUCGCGCCUUCGAUAUAAUUUGGUCAAUGUGAUUGUUCCAUUUCAAAUUGUUAGAAACGCUCAGACCAAGGAUUUUAGCACUGUCGACCACUUCCAAGAUUUCUCCAUUUACUAUAGUAAAACCAACUAUGCAUGGCAAAACCAAUAAUGACAAGUUUUAUAGUAAAUCAAUUGUAGUUAAAUUAAACCAACGACAAUAUAAGUAUUAAUGCUUAUGUUCUCUUUUAUGAUAAUCAAAGUGGCAAUAAAGACGGUGUUAUUCGUUCAUCUUUCAAAGCUCUAUACUAACAUCACACCCGGACGCGAUUUGGCAACGUGACGCGAUUUUCCAGUUUCUAAAAACAAAUUAUACGACAGGGUCGCCGAGAGAAUUCGCGGGGCCCAGGGCAAAUCUUCUCUGGGGGGCGGGGGGCGGGGGAUCAUUUUUAAGUUAGACCCAAGUCAGUCACCCAACUGGACUUUAGCUAGACUGCAUGUGGAGCUACUGUAAGGGGCCCUAUUAACGUGGGGACCAGGGGAAAUCCCCCUGCCCCCUCUCGGCGCCCCUGAUUAUAUUGUCCAUGAAAGGAAACUUUGAAGAUAUGUGAACCUGAUAAGUCAAGAUGCUCUAUAGCCAUAACAUUUCCAGAAAGAUUUUACCAGGAGCAAAUGUUUUGGUUUCUGAAAACUAUGUAAAAUAUCGCGACGCGUUCGUUUGCCGACUGGACGUUCGGUGUGUGUACACCUUAAUGCGUAUAUUAAGCCAAUCGUGGCCAUGAUGGAAAGAGCAAAAAUUGCUUUGGUGUUACUGGCGGCAUAUUAGAAGAAAGUAAUAGUUUCUGUUUGUUGCUUUAGCCAGCAUAUAGAUUGUCUCUAGAUAAUACAGAGCAAUGAAUAUUUUCACUUCUUCACGGCGUUGUGGUACUUAAUGAACUGAACAUUCGACGUGAAUAUGUUGACGAGAACUCCUGCAAAACAGCUCUAACAAAAUCUUGAACAGUCUUCGCCAGUGUAGGUAAUGACAAUAAUAUGAAGAAGCUUUCGUUGACGGUCGGGAUGCAAAUACCUGAAAAAUAUAAGGAGAAUUUCGACGUUCGAAAGCGUCUCCAACAAAAUGUAUGUUAUCAAAUAAUGAAAAAAGUUUUCAACCUCAAAAGUAAGUACGAUGCGUACAUUUACGUACCGAGACAUUCCGAAUAGGACUGGGGGGGGGGGGUUGUUCCUCUAGAGACUUGUGUGUCACGUGUGUAUUGUAAUUUAUCGUAAACAACCAAUAGCUGAAUGUUCGAACUCCGCUGUUCAUCCGUGACUGAAACAAUUGGUCAAUUUACACAUUACUAUUGGUUGAUUCCGAAAAAAAUACAAUACACACGUGACGAGAUAUGACCCAUAUUUUUGCAUAAACCUACACAAACGUAGAUAAUGAUCGAGCUGUAUUGUGUUUUCGCCGAGUCACCAAACCAUGCAUUUUAUUAACUGUGGUCUAAUAAACGUAUUUCAAACACUCAUUAAUAAUUCAUAAGCUCAAUGACAAAUCAUGUCAACCAUAAUAUGUCACGUGAAGACGCUUUAUACCUGAUAAAACUCAUCUUCAUUAGUAUUAUUUGUAUAAAAGUCCAUCCUAAUUAGUAUUCUUUAUAUAAAGAAUACUAAGGAGACGGCAUUGUAUUGUAGUCAUGUUUGAAGCUAUUCAAAACACUUGUAUAGUCGUGUUUUAUAAUAUCUAAAAAGCUCGUGCUGCGCACUCACAUUUUAAAUAUGAUAAAACACUCCUACACGUGAUAGUACAUAAAAUUUGCACGUGAUAGUUUCCAUCUGCAAAACCCUUAAAUUGUUAUUCAAUCGAGUGAGAUGCCAACAAAAUAUACAAGAGAUCACUCUAUUGGCCGCCAUUUCAGGCUUCACCCAUCAUUGGGCCUUUUAUCUGAGCUAUCGUUCUAGUAUUUAUAGAGUUCACUGGCUAAGGGUAGAUUGCUCCAGUGACCUAUGCAGUCCAGUUUCUAAAUGUCUGUUGUCAACUUCUUUGUAUUCAAUUAUGCUAUGCAGACAAUUUGGCCGUGCUUUAGAAGACGUCUUUAAACUUCAGCAGUAGAAAUAAAGAAUCAAUGAAUCACUAUUUUAAAGUAUAUUAUAUAGUAGAGAGCGAGAUACUGAAAAAUACACAGUGAGAUAUUUUCCAUAUCUUCACUGGUGAAGAUAUCGAUCACGUGACUUUUUGCAAUUUGCUUCGAGCGUGAAAUUUCACAUUUUUUUCGCUUGGGACUAUAUACUAAACAGAACAUUACACGGCAGCGCGAAGAUAUGACUUUCAUAAAAUAUUGUUUUCACCACACUCGAAGAUAAAAGUCAUAUCUUCGAGCCGCCGUGUAAUAUUCUCUCUCGAUAUAUAAAUCAAGAACUAACGUACCAUGGUGCUCACCAGUCCCCUUGUUAAAGAUUCCAUCAGACCGUUUUUUAUAACCCCAACCUGAAAUAGUUUCGGUAUAUGAGAAUCUAUUGUUUCAAAUUAGUCUUUUCUUAAAAAAAAUCAAUUGAAAGCUUAUUAGAACCAAAAAUAAGUACUGGAACAUUCCAUGUAGGCCUAUCGUGUUGCACCCUCCACGCCUUGUCACCCUACUCACCUAUAAGAGCCCCGGUAUAGCUAUCGUUUCAGUUCUACAUAACUGGACGAACCUGGAAGGCAUUAAAAUCAACAAUUAUAUUCCUCGCUAUGGUUGAUACUUGAUUAUUAUGUUUGUGAUACGAUCACUGGUUAUCCUGCAUCCCUUUCUUUUUCUCUAUUACACAGUACACCCUGCAUGGCACGCAAAUUGUCAUGUUGAGGCCAGUGUGAACGUACGCCUCAGCAGGCGUCUUGUUAUUAUUACAAUUUAUGUGUCAAUUUUUAAUAACUAUGCCACUACGAAGAUUAUACUAAGGCCAUGCAUGUUAUUACUUACUGACAUGCUGUAAAUAAAAAUGACAAAUGAGCCCAGAAAUUAAUCAUUUUAUGAAAUAAUAAAACAGCAUCUUUAUACAGACUGACACUAAGAAAUCGGGAGAAAAGAUUCAGCACAAAAUAUGUUGCCUUUUAACCUUUUAAUUUUCUUUUCAGUCAUUUUGUAGACAGGAUUGACUAACUUCUUUAUGGACUCAGCGUCAGUGUUUUAUAGCAAGGAAGCGAUAGUAUAGAGUUAAUAACUAUGUUCAAGUAUUCAGUAAAAUUUAAUGAAUAUUUCCGUAAUUAAAAUGUCUCAGCAUGAAACGCUGCACAAAGGUUCAAACAGUCAAACAAAUUGAUUAUUUCAUAAUAUAGUAAUAGAAUCGACUUGUAUAUAUACUGGAUAUAGAAAAGUUUGUUCCUAAAACAUAUGUGUAUGACUGACUCAUCAACGCAAGAUGCCAUGGCAAUCAUCAGAUAAAUUAUAUAUGACCUGUAUAAAAUUAAUAAUUAUGUAUAUAAUUUAAAAAAACAAUAAUUCAUGAGGAAUAGACAGAGGGAAUCACUGCCGUGUCGGUGGUUUUAUAUGUGAUAAAAAUCUUAAAAUCAUGUCCAUUUAUAUGAACAACGGUUAG